rnacentral:rRNA from 1 species
UGCACACAGGUGCUGCAUGGCUGUCGUCAGCUCGUGUCGUGAGAUGUUGGGUUAAGUCCCGCAACGAGCGCAACCCUUGCCAUUAGUUGCUACGAAAGGGCACUCUAAUGGGACUGCCGGUGACAAACCGGAGGAAGUGGGGAUGACGUCAAGUCCUCAUGGCCCUUAUAGGUGGGGCUACACACGUCAUACAAUGGCCGGUACAGAGGGUUGCCAACCCGCGAGGGGAGCUAAUCCCACAAAGCCGAUCGUAGUCCGGAUCGCAGUCUGCAACUCGACUGCGUGAAGUCGGAAUCGCUAGUUAAUCGUGGAUCAGCAUGUCACGGUGAAUACGUUCCCGGGUCUU